rnacentral:rRNA from 1 species
GACGAACGCUGGCGGCGUGCCUAAUACAUGCAAGUCGAACGAGUGGCGGACGGGUGAGUAAUGUCUGGGCCACUGCCCGAUGGAGGGGGAUAACUACUGGAAACGGUAGCUAAUACCGCAUACCAUCGGAUGUGCCCAGAUGGGAUUAGCUAGUGGGUGGGGUAACGGCUCAUCCAGGCGACGAUCCCUAGCUGGUCUGAGAGGAUGACCAGCAACACUGGAACUGAGACACGGUCCGGACUCCUACGUGAGGAAGCAGUGGGGAAUAUUGCACAAUGGGCGCAAGCCUGAUGCAGCCAUGCCGCGUGUAUGAAGAAGGCCUUCGGGUUGUAAAGUACUUUCAGCGGGGAGGCGUUACUCGCAGAAGAAGCACCGGCUAACUCCGUGCCAGCCGCCGCGGUAAUUC